AUGAUGUCAGACCAUUUCUCCUUUGUUUACAAACCGCCUUUCCCACUUCCUCAGUGCAUGGUCCCAUAUCACCACAGACCGUUGGAUGUUGAGCAUGGUGGAAGUGGGAUACCCUCUCCAGUUUAUUUCCACUUCUUCUCACCCUCCCUCUCCAUACCUAUUCAGGAAGCCCUCUCACGAAAAACUUCUGGUCCAAAAGGUUCAAUCUCUUCUUCGGGUGGGAGCCGUGGAAGAGGUUACGCAGAAUUUAAGAGGGAAGGAGUUCUACUCCCGUUAUUUCUUAAUCCCAAAAGUCAAGGGAGGUCUCAGACCAAUUCUACACCUGUGCCACCUCAACAGCUAUCUCAAGAAAAUAAAUGUCCACAUGGUCACCAGUUAUGGAAGAAAGUCCUCAUUGCUUCAAUAGUUGUGGUGGUGCAACUUGCAAUUCUGGGACACAAAGGGGUAAAUGUGUUGCUGGGACAAGCUCGGUGGAGGACGAUGAAAUCGGAAUGAAAGAGAUGUAUAAACAGCU
rnacentral:lncRNA from 1 species